CCUACGGGGGGCAGCAGUCUAGAAAUUUGCACAAUCGACGAAAGUCGGAUGCAGCGACGCCACGUGGAGGAUGAAGCCUCUAGGGGUGUAAACUCCUGUCAGGAGGGAAGAAGGCUCAUGGGUUAAUAGCCCAGGGGCUUGACGGUACCUUCAAAGGAAGCUCCGGCUAACUACGUGCCAGCAGCCGCGGU
rnacentral:rRNA from 1 species